UUGGGGUCACAGUCCAGGACGUGGUUUUCCUUUUAUUUCCACAGAUGCAGUGAGAGUCUUUGUGGUCCCCCACUGGGACUGCCAGGAAAUCAGGAGAACUCUCUAGGUCCACACGGAUCUGUUCCCAAACCCAGACAGGCAGAAGGAAUCAGGACGAGGGGCAAGAAGCUAACAGGAGGAGAGUGCGGAAGCCCAGAGACUGAGAUGCACCAGAAUGGUUUUUUGUCACUGAGAUCUGCUCCCAAGUACCCACACUGUGAUCACCUGAACCUUCAAGUCACUGUUCUCACAGUUCACUUUCAAUGAGGGAUUACCUGAAAAAUGCUGUGUGCGUCGUCGUCACUCAGAGAGUGCUUUGGCGUGUACACGAUCCCGUUGUGAGUGAUGUCUUCUGCGUUGAUGCAGUUCUCAUUGUUUUCGAACAAUGGGGCACCGAAGUAAUCAGCCUGGGCUGCCUUUCCUGGCAGCAAACUAUAGAUCUGUACAUUGGAGGAGAACAAAGGGAAACUGUUUCUUGUUCUACUGCUUGAAGGAUUUU